rnacentral:lncRNA from 1 species
GUAAUUUGUCAUUUUAUUUCGACAUAAUAAAAACUAUUGUCAAAAAAUAUUUGCAACUUUCUUACAAGCCUUCUUGAAGGAUUACAUCGGUGCAACUUUCAGGAUAUUGAUUAUUCCACGUACAGUCAUUUCAAAGUUGUAAAUCAGAUUCUUACCACAAGCUUUUAGUAUUUGUUAAGAUCCAAAAUCAAGGGUCAUGAUGGCACUCAUCGCAGCGAAUCUUGACGAGUAAGCCUAUCAUCCAAAUGAUAAACAAAGGGGAAAUAUAGAAAUACCCCUAAGGUAAGGCUUCUAGAACAAUGUCGAACCAUAUAAGUAUAACAAAUGCGGAAAGAAACGUAAACAACAAUGUGUCCAUAACUCCAGAAACCUGAUGUCAAUAGUAUAAGAAUGUAUCUAGUAUAACUCAAAUCCAAAAGAAAUAUAUAUGAAAUCCAAUCAAUACAACUCUGACUCUGAAAACUAGUAAAGACGGUCUAAUUAAUGAGAAAUAUAGUAAAAUACAUCCGGACACCUGAAAAUCAACCACUACCUUAAAAACUCCAACAAUCGCCCAAAUCAAGCAACGUAGGGCACACCCAAACCCAAACCUGCACCAGAAAGGUACAGUAGGAGUGGGUACGAUCCACUUAUACUAGGUAGGUAUCACAGCUCAACCUAGCAAAGUUUUAAGUAUGACAUAUAAAAUACACAUUAAGGGUACGUCACUUGCAAUCAGAAAAUGUCCUAUAAUGGUAGCCCACAUCGCUUGCACUAACAGUUCUAAUAUAUCACAUAUAUUGCAACAAACACAGAAAAGACCACAAAUGUACAAUAACUUACAUACAAGUAGGACAAGGAAGGGUAAUAUACAUACAAGAUCAUUGAGUAUAAGUAUAACAAGAUAGAACAAUUAGAUAUAGAAUAAGUCAAAACAAAAGUAUAAUCAUAUUACAGCCAUAACGGAGUAAACACAAUAACAAUGAUGAUGAUGAUGCACGAGGUUAUUGCACAACCUCUAUAUACACCCAUGGAGGCAAGCCUUCCGACAUGACCAACGGGGUGUUCAUCAACUCGUAUAUAAUUCGUAUAUCAUAUCUCCUCCCUAGCACAUCCCUCGAGAAGGGUUUUAUAAGAUGUCAUAAUAUUUUUUUCCCGGCACAUUCCUCAAGAAGGGUUUUAAAACCAAUGUUUCAUGAGUGAGUGUGAUAUGAGGAUGUAAUUCUCACAAUCAAUCACAAUUAGUAUUUCCACAACCAACCACAAUGAUAUAUUCAUAACCACGUAAGCCAAUAUUCACUCAUUAUUUCCACCAUCCAUGAAGUUCCACAUGAUUCAUAUGUAGAUAAAGUAUGAAUAUAGCACAAUAUACCAAUUAUACCACAUUAGGAAUUUCAACAAUACAACACAAUUAUUCAUAUAUAUUUCAGUCUAUCCACAUCACAAAGGACCUCACACGGUCACACAUAUCAUAUAAUAUCUCCAAACCAACAAUUACAUCAUAUAUAGGCCCCCACGCGGGAAUAAUACAUUAAGAUAGCCAAUUUUAUGAUUAGUUCUCAUCUCCUUAACAUGCAUUUUGUAUUCAAAUUAACUACUCAUCCCAAUCCAAAAGAGUUAAGCCAUAACCUACCUCAAGGCCAAAAAUUGGUCUGCAACACUUCAAUUCACGACCUUAUUUCUCACAAACUAUCCCAAAAUUAAAAAAAUCAAGAAAUAAAAUAUCUACGUGUCACAAUAAAUCCAAUGAUACUCGUAUUGCCUAAUAUUAGUUUGGGGUCAAAACAGACUCCCAAAAUGGGUUUCCCAAAAAGAAGGACAAAAUCUUAUUUUUAUUUCAAAAAUGUGUUCCCCAUAUCUUUAGAAACCUACAUCUAAAAACUCAAGUAAAAUCGAGUUAAAAAUGAGAUUCAAAACGAAGAAAAACUAUUUUUAAACUUUAUAGGGUAAAAUCUUCUAAAUCCGUUUAAAAUCAAGAAUUGAGGUUGUUUUGAAAAUGAAAUCAAGGAAAAACAAGUAAUUAUAGCAUUAGAAACAUUAUUCAAGUGAAAAUGAGUAAAAUUGAGGUUUAAAAUCACGUCCUUAGAUUUCAGGAUUUUUAGAAAUUAAUCAAGAAAUUCACUAAAAAAAUGGUGAAUUCUAAUCUCAAAUCCUUAAGAGAAUCAAGAAAUGGAUGUUAAUCUAGCUUCCCAAGCACCCACAAGCUUCAGUUUUAAGCUCUCACACUAUUUUAUGGUUUAUCUCUCAAGAGGCAAGAUGAAAAAUGAGCUAAUUAACGACCUAAGGGGUCUAUUUAUACCCCAUCCAGGUAAUUAAAUUUGUAAUCACAUACCCAGGUGUGAAAUUGCACACCCUUGAAGUAGUAGGAGGUGUGGCGAUUGCCAACCCCUUAGUACGAUUGCACUACCCUCUCUGCCGCAUAUAUGUGAUCGCCACUCAAGUGGUGUGAUUGCACAUGCACCAAAAACCAGCUGAAGCUCGAAAAUUCUUUCAAGUGUUUGUCAAUGCCUUGGGAUUCAUUCAAAAUCCAAUGUACGUAAACAAACUAUGUAACCAUACUAAAUUCAAUGCUCUAGACUUAAUGGUGAUGUCAUAUUUUUGAAAAGAAAUUAUUUUCACAAUGUUGACCCCCGAAACUCAAAAUCAUAAUUUUUCAAAAGGAGGGUCGAAAUGAGAUUUAAAAGCCAUAAAACCACACCAAAUAUGUUACCACCUUAAAAUUUAUGUUCUGGAAAUACUGGUACAGUCCAUUUAGCCCUUUGUCGCACGAAUCAAAAGAUAACUACAGAUGUUCAUAAUAAGGCUCUCUAAGCCUCCAAAAACUACAAUAUCGCAUAAAAAGCACCAAAAUGAAUUAGAAACCAUGCCAAUCAAACCCACACCCUAGAAACACCAUAACAUAAUCAUGAAGAGGGGUAAAAUAGUUAAAUCACAUAAAAAUACAUGUUUCACAUAUUUCAUCAAAAUUUUAUGUCGUUACAGUAUUUUGGUUGUGAUAUAUCAUUUUGUGCAACUAUCUCCAUAAUAGAAAGAAAACAAAAUUCUAGUAGAACCAAAUAGGCAUUCUACAUGUGCACAAUCUAAAAUAAUGAUUUCAUUCAGUUGUAGCAAUCAAAAAAAAUUCAAAGAAAAACAUAUGUCAACAUUGAUUCUGAGAGUAAAGUAUUCUUCAUCAACUACAUACCUCAAGCAUUUCGAGAUAAGCCAACAACAUUGAAGAUUUUCAAUCACUAAAUUCAAGCUGAGGUGAACAAAAUACUCCUUUAGCAAUUCAUUUUUUUGUUCUACUGGGAAUUAAUUUAUCAAAAAUUAUCCUCGAUUAAAAAGAAAGAUGUAUAUCCUUAUUAGAAAACAUAAUAACAAAAAGAGAUGAGAAGUCCGAUAGUCAAUCAUGAGACAACCUCUAGCCCAGGCAGACAAGACUGAGAAAUAUUAUCAACAACACCAUGAUCACCAAAAGCCAUGGAAGUUGUUAAUUAGGCUCUUCCCUCUUGGCCACCAUUCAUCUAUGGACUUGGUUUUUUGUAUCCUUAGAAAUCAAGGAUACAAUGGUAAUAUCCUAUAGUACAGAUCUUGUUCAAGUAAGGUCAUGUCCAACUAAGUUGAUGCAACAACAUAUAAACACUAAGUAGCAUUGCUAGCUUAUCGAUGUGGGGCACGAGGUUGGGAAAAAAUGUAUUCAACUCCAGUAUUGUCAUUAUGAGUGGACAUCUGCAACCAAAAACUACCUAAUUCUUACAAUUUAUACAUGUGAUUUCUAUUCUGAGAGAUUGAUGAAUUUGUAUGCUAUAAAAGUAUAUAGGUAAAAUUGAUUAAAACUAAGUUAUGUGCAAUGAGAAGAGACAAAUAUUAUUGAGAAAUUGUUCUCAACUAUCAAUCAAUUCAUAGGCAUCUGAACUAGACCAAAACAAUUGAACUUUGCAUUUGUUAAGAGUUGCAUAAAUGCAGGCCCCGCAGCCAUAAAUUUUGUUGUAGGCACGAUCACUUGGGUCGGACUUAGAUGGGCACCCCUCCAAGAUUGUGUCCCCCUCAAUGGAGUGUAUUAUUAUAGGUUUUUAUAUAGUUAUAAAUAAUUGGGUUGUCUAGAUAUACACUCAAUACCUAUAUCAUAAGUCAAUUUUUCUCAAAAGUUGAAUAAUUUAUCUCAAUAAGAUAUUUCCAAAUCUAUAUGUGUUAUUUAAUUUACAUAAGAGAAAUUGGCUUAUGCCCAGUAAAUUCUACUUAUUCUAAGUGAAUCUAUUAAAUGAGGGCUGUUAAAGUGUAUACUAUAGCAUUAGUUUUUGAUGCAGUAAAAUAGUUUUCACUAUUUUUAUUGUUUUAUUAAUUUAGUACAGAUUUAGUUACUCUAGGCAAUUAGUUAGUUGAGUAGUUAUGUAAGUUGUUAGUAGUUAUUAGAAGGUUCUAGAACAUCAAGUGUGACUCAUGUAAUUUUAUAAAUACCAAGCAUAGUAAUCACAUUAUGUAACUCUUCUAGCUUAUCAAUGAAGCUAAGUUCUUCUCUUUCAAUACGAUAAUAAAAAUACACUUUUCUUCUUCAGUGUAGUCAGCUUCUACUCUUAUAGAGUUGAAUCAGAUGUUUUCAGAUGUUUUAACAUGGUAUCAUAGCCAUUGAUUACAGAGGUUUAGAAGAGACAUUGAUAGAGUUUAGAUCUCUUUUGUGGAGAGAUUCUCAAUAUCUGUUACUAGCAGAAUAUUUCAGUAGUUGUAGAGAAAUCUCUUAUCUCUGUUUUCAGUUAUUUCCAGCAAUUUGGUGUGUAUUAUCAUUGGAGGAUUCAAUUUUGAUUCUAGUAGAGUUUGAUCUCUACCACAAAAAAAUUUUUAAAGGUCUGAAAUGUCACCCAAAAUUGAUCCAAGUGAUCCCUUGUUUAUAGGAACAUCGGAUGUGUCUAGAGCUACCUUGAUUCUAAUUAAGCUUGUUGGAUUAGAGAAUUAUGGAUUAUGGAGCCAAUUGAUGAGGAUUGAAUUAAUGGGGAAAAGAAAAUUUGAUUUGUGGCCGGUGCUUGUAAUAGAAGUUUAUAUAGAGAAGAAUUGCAUGAGCAAUAGGAAACUUGCAAUACCUUAGUGUUGUCAUGGUUAAUAAGCUCUAUUAGUGCAAAAAUGUUAAGUGGCAUUGUAUAUGCCACAAGUCAAUUUAAAGUUUGGGAAGAUCUGAGAGAAAGGUUUGACAAGGUCAAUCACAUAAGGCUCUAUCAGUUACAUAGGGAAAUAAACUCACUAUCUGUAAUACGCCAUAUGUUUCUAAGUUAGGAAGUAAAUAAGUAUUCCUACAUAUGAAAUCUUCUAUCCUAUGAUUCAUAAUUGAGUACAUGACUUACAAUAAAUAUCCUAGUGAUAGGAUAGCUUAUGAUGCAUUAAGCAUGUUCAUAUGAGUCACUUAAGAUAAUACAAGCUAAGAGUUUUUGAAUCCAUCAAGUUUUAAUAUUUGAUUUUGCAAGGGUCAUCUUUGAAUGAGUAUAACUCAAUGUUAAUUUUGUAUUAUGGCUGAUUUAGACCUACCAAAUUGUACAGAAUCAAAUUAGCUUUCCAACGAUAUCAAUUUUGCCUUAAUCCAAUACCCGAGCAAAAAGUUAUGCCCAUUUUCGUGAGAGACAGUAAGCAUAGGCGAUUGGUUAGGCGCUGCCCAACCCAAGCAUAGACGAUUGGUUAGGUGCCGCCCAACCUAGCUUAGUAAAUCACAUGGGCGCCGCUUAAGUCAGUUCCAGGUGCCAAAAAUACUCUGUUUUGAGUUAUUUAAGGGUAAUUAAGUCUUUUAACACUUCUUACAUGUCCCUAAACUUAACCCUACGAAAUAUAUAGCUUCUAAACAAAUUACAACCCUAUUAUCAUCUCAAAGAUCAUCAUACAAGAGCACUAAAAGAGAAAAACAACUAGGUUUGCAUAACUAAUCUUGAAGAUCUGAUUUCAAGGAAAUUCCUCCGUCAAUCAUCAAGAAUCUUCCUUCUAAGGUAUGUGUGAGUUGAUUUAUGGAUCCCUUUCAUUCAUAAAGCUAAAAAACCCUCUUUUUCAUUAUAAAGUAUGAUUUCUAUAUUGUUGGGUGUUGAUGAUCAUGUUGUUGAUAUUGGGUGAUUCCCCAGAUGGAAUCUUUAUAUGUUUUUUUGAAUUUCAUGAUAUCAUAUAAGUUGGAAACAUGUAAAUUUGGUUGUUCAUGAUGUAUNNNNNNNNNNNNNNNNNNNNNNNNNNNNNNNNNNNNNNNNNNNNNNNNNNNNNNNNNNNNNNNNNNNNNNNNNNNNNNNNNNNNNNNNNNNNNNNNNNNNNNNNNNNNNNNNNNNNNNNNNNNNNNNNNNNNNNNNNNNNNNNNNNNNNNNNNNNNNNNNNNNNNNNNNNNNNNNNNNNNNNNNNNNNNNNNNNNNNNNNNNNNNNNNNNNNNNNNNNNNNNNNNNNNNNNNNNNNNNNNNNNNNNNNNNNNNNNNNNNNNNNNNNNNNNNNNNNNNNNNNNNNNNNNNNNNNNNNNNNNNNNNNNNNNNNNNNNNNNNNNNNNNNNNNNNNNNNNNNNNNNNNNNNNNNNNNNNNNNNNNNAUUGUGCAAGUACUUCUAUGUGAUAUGAAAUCCUUUCCAUGCAAUACAUUGUUGAUAACCAUGCUUAGUAUGAGAUCCCUACUUAUGAUAUUAUAAAUUAUGGACUCUACUCUUAUGAUCAAGUCAGUCAUGUGUGUCAGUUUCCUUCCAUCGAGUCCUGGGGGUACUUGUAUCCAAAAACUAUAGUUGUGUGCCUAAAGCCAUGUCAUGUUUCACGAUAUCCGAACACAAGCUAUGAUUCUAUAGACUUUAGUCAGUCAUGUGACUCAGGAAAACCUCAUGAUCUUAGUUAGUUGUCAGAUAUCAGUAACAUUCCGCCAGUUAACGGAAUUUAGUAAGAUAAAGUUAUGCACAGUCAGUUAUUCAUGUCCAGUCCCUCCAGAUGGGAGUAGAGGAAAGCACUAAGUGAACCCAAGGAUGGGAAUUCACCCGCCAAUUCACGGUGUGAUUCUUAGUAGUCAUCCUUGUGUUCCAAAACUACAUAUCGAGUGUAGGUUGAGACAUCUUAACCCGUCAGAUUAGGGUUGAUGAGGUGGCUUAACCCGUCAGCUUAGGGUUCCCACCAUUCUCAUUGAGUACCCGCCAGAUAAGGGUCACUCAUAGGGUGUCCUUACCCGUGGCACGGUAUUGACACCCCUCCAGUCGGGGCAGAGAUUGGACCCCAGCUUAGCCAUAAUAGCAUACAUGGGACAUGUUGGUUAAACAUUAUUUCCCACAGUUUCAGUAUCAGUCUUAGUAAAAAAACUCAGGGCGUUCUUCAGAUUUCAAUAUAUACAGGACUAUUAGAUACAGUCAUCCAUGUUAUCAAUUUUAGUAUCAGUCAUGAUAGUUAUUAGUAAACCAUGUAUUAGCUUACAGGUCAUGCUAUCAUGUAUUCACUGUCCCAGUUUCUAUAUAUAUGUGUUUGCACUCCCACGUUCAUAUUAGUCAGUCAGUGUUGUUCAUGCAUGAAACCCUUUAUGUUCAUCCUACCUUCCUCGUAUACUUUGUACUCCAGUUGUACUGACGUAUUUCCGUUAUGGUGCUUUUUUUUCUUGUUACACCGUAGGUUCGGAGACACGAGCUCCAGCCCAGCAGUAGCGGAAGCAUUCCAGUCACAGAGACACAGUGAGUCCUCAUUAAUUCGAGGACAAUAUGAUUUGAUUCAUUUAUUUAUUUCUUCAGUUUAGUUUUACGACGUUAGUUAGAGACAUGUUUCUUCAACUCCUUGUUCAGAUAGUUUAGAGGCUUUCAGAUUUAUGAUCGGAUUUACGUUCAGAUUGAGUUGUUUUGGGUAUUUUCACCCACAUAGUUUUAUUCAGUUGACCCUUAUGGCCUUACAGUUCUAUGUAUUCUGCAUUAUUAUAUCAUGAUUUGCAGUAUAUAGGUACAGAUAUCAUUCAUGGAUUAGCUUGUGGUCCCUCGGGGUCAUGAGCACUGUGUAGCAUUCCAGUUCAGCGAAUCGGGGUGUUACACUAUCCCAAGUAGCUGAUUCAGUAGCAACUUAUUUCACAAAAUUGAAGAUCUUAUGGAGUGAAUAUGAUGCAGUAGUUCCUGCACCAUCAUCUUCUUGUCCAAGGUCCAAAGACUAUGCCGGUUACCUGUCUGAAUUAAGAUUAAUACAGUUUUUAAGUGGCUUGAAUGAUUUCUAUAAUCAAGCAGGAGACAAAUUCUAUUAAAGAUAGUUACACCUAUACUUAAUCAGGCCUAUUCUAUGAUUUUAAAUUUAACAUUGGCUUGUGCAACUACCACAAAUGAAAAGACAAAGCCAAUUACAAUGCAUGUGAGUAAAAUCUCAAAAAGUAGUUACGGAUCACAAAAUCACAAAGGGAUGAAUUGUGACUAUUGCCACUUCACUAGGCAUACUAAAGAAACUUACUACAAAUUAAUAGGCUAUCCUAAUGAUUGGAAGUAGAAAAGAAGGGUAGGUUACAAUGGUAAUUUAAGAAGAUAUGAAGGAAACAACAAUCAUGCUUAUGGAAGAUCUGGUGGAUAUGGAGGUCAAGGAUAUCAGUUACCUGGUCAAACUAAUAAUUAGUUGUCUUCCCAUGAUUUCAUUGGACAAUAUCCAACUGAUAAUGCAGGGCAAUCGACUCUAUCUAGAAAUCAAAAAUAUAAAGACAUUAGUAGUGUUAUUUUGGCCAAGGCGCAGAGUAUAAGCAGAUUGUGGCCCUAUUGAACAAAGAUAAGCAUUAUUUCAAAUAGGUUAACAUGUCAGGUAUAGCAACUUUCUUGGUAUGUCAUAUUAUUUUACAUGAUUGGAUAAUAGAUUUUGGUGCCACACAUUAUGUUGCAGCGCAUAGAGAUUUUUUUUCUCAAUUUCAUAAGAUAGAUACUACUAAUCAGAAUAAAGUAAAUCUUCCUACUGGUGCUAAGGGAAACAUAACACAUAUUGGAGAUGGACAAGUCCUUAAAGAUGAAGUUCUGGGGGAUGUGUUGUUUUUGUCUAAUUUUAAGCUAAACUUGUUGUUAAUAUCCAAAGUAACCAAACAACUCUCAUGCUUUAUGUCAUUCUAUCCUAAUUUUUGUAUAUUUUAGGACCUUCACAGUGGGAACGUGAAUGGUAUUAGUAAGGAAAAAAAAAGGUUUAUAUACCCUCAAGAAUGUUUGUAGAGUAGAUGAGAUGCACAGAGAUGGUCAAAAUCUGGUUGCAGAAGUAAGUAUACAAGAUUGCAAUCUGUGGCAUAGAAGACUUGGGCAUCCUUUUACUCAAGCUCUGAAGUCACUAAACUUGUUGAGACACAUAAAAGACAUAAAGUCUUUAAAUAGAUGUCAUAUUUGUCCAUUAGCUAAACAAACUAGAAUGAUGUUUCCUACAAGUAGUUCUAGAGCUGAAAGAUGUUUUGAUAUUGUGCACAUGGAUCUUUAGGGCCUUAUAAAAUUUUAACUUUUGAUAAGAAACAUUAUUUCUUAACUAUUGUGGAUGAUUACAGCAGGUAUACUUGUCUUUAUUUGUUACAACUAAAAGCUAAAUGUAUUAUAGAUGUUGAGAAUAUUUUGAGUAUGAUUCAUAAUCAGUUUGAUUCUAAGAUAAAGGUUAUUAGAUCUGAUAAUAGGAUAGAAUUCCUCAACUCUAAGUGUAGAGAGUUAUUUCAGUCUUUGGGCAUAAUACAUCAAAGCAGUUAUCCCUAUACAUCAUAGCAAAAUGGUGUAGUUGAAAUAGAACAUAGACAGAUAUUAAAUGUUGCUAGAGCUAAUAGAUUUCAAGCUCAAAUGCCAAUUAGAUUCUGGGGUCUAAUUGUUAAAGCUGCAGUUUAUAUUAUUAACAGACUACCAUUUUCAUCCAUUGGAGGUAAGAGUCCUUAUGAAAUAUUGUUUUCGAAGGUUCCAUCCUUAACACAUUUGAGAUUUGUUGGUUGCAAAUGUUAUGCUUCAAUAGUAGCAAAAGCUGAUAAGUUUUUAGACAAAGUAAAGAAUACAGUAUUGAUGGGGUAUUCUGCUACUCAAAUGGGUUAGUUGCUGAUGGAUUUCAUCACUAACAAGCUAUUUGUUACUAGAGAUGUUUUAUUAUGAGAGAAUGAAUUCCCUUUUGCAGAAGCAACAACUUUAGAAUCAUCUGAAGAUUUUAUUAAGAUUAAUUAAAGUAUAGUAAAUCAUGAAAUUGAUGAUCUUUAAGCAGCUUGCUCUGAGAUAUUAGAAUCUCAUAUUUAGGUUCCUAAGUUAUCAGAAGAGGAUUUACAUUAGUUACAUGUUCCAGCAAAUACAUUAAUUGAUGUGCCUUCUAGGUCACUAGAUGUAGCUGCAUCAACAUCAUUAACACCUAUAACUGAUGCUCUAAAAAUAUCAUCUAGAAUAACUAAGAAACCUGCUUGGUUGAUGGAUCAUACUUCACCGGGAAAGAAGAAAGGGAGCAAAUACCCCUUAACCAGUUAUAUAUCCUAUGAUAAUACUACUGCAGGUUACCAGUGUUUUGUUUCCAACAUGUCAACACUGGUUGAACCUCAAACUUACAACCAGGCUAUCAAAGAUGAAAAGUGGAUUGAAGUCAUGCAGUUAGAGAUCAAAGAACUUAAAGAUAAUCAUACCUGGGAGGUAGUUGAUAUGCCUCAAGACAAAAAUAUUAUAGGAUCGUGUAGAAAGUUAAAUAUAAAUCUAAUAGAGAAGUGGAAAGAUUUAAAGCAAGAUUAGUAGCCAAGGGCUACAGCCAACAAGAAAGGAUGGACUAUCAUGAUACUUUUUCUCAUGUGGCUAAGAUGGUUAUAGUCAGGUGUAUUAUUGCAUUGGUAGUCUCCAAGGGGUGGUGUAUGUACCAGAUUGAUGUCUACAAUGCCUUUCUUCAAGGUCAUCUGGAUGAAAAAGUUUAUAUGGAGAUGCUAUAAGGCUUUAAAGCAGGAAGAGAAAACAAAGUUUGCAUAUUGAUCAAAUCCUUAAGUGGACUUAAGUACGCUUCAAGAAAGUGGAAUAUCAAGCUAAAUGUAGCUUUUCUUCAUACAGGAUUCACCCAAAGCACACAUGACUAUUCUUUGUUUACAUUAAAAAAGAAAGAAGGCAUGGUUGUAAUCUUGGUAUAUGUGGAUGAUUUUUCCAUCACUGGUGACAACAUUACUAUGAUCAAUAAAGCAAAAGCAACCUUGCAUCAGGAGUUUAAGCUCAAAGAUUUAGGAGAGCUCAAAUAUUUCUUGGGAAUAGAAGUGUUAAAAUUUACAGCUGGGGUCAUAUUGAAUCAGAUGAAGUAUAUUUUAGAGCUCAUUUCAGAGAUUGGAUUAGCUGGGGCUAAACCUGCACCUACCCCAUUAGAAGUUAAUGCCAUGUUAACCUCAGUUGAGUUUGAUAAAGCAACAAGUACCAUAGGGGAUGUUGUUCUCAGGGACAUUAUUUCUUAUCAAAUAUUGGUUGGGAAGUUGAUGUAUGCAACUAUAACUAGACUUGAUAUUAGCUAUGGUGUGCAGAUCUUAAGUCAAUUUACACAACAGCCUAAAAGGUCUCAUUUGGAAGCUGCUAAUAGGGUAAUCAGAUACUUAAAAGGAAUAGUAGGCUGGGGUGUUUGGCUUAAGGCUCAGCCUACUGCAGAUCUUAUGUGAUGGUGUAACUCAGACUGAGCAGCAUGCCCAAACACAAGAAGGUAUGUCACAGGAUAUAUGGUGCAUUUUGGUAAAUCAUUGAUAUCCUGGAAGUCCAAGAAGUAACAUACUAUAUCUAAAAGCUCAGUUGAAGCAGAAUAUAGAAGCAUGGCUUCAGCUCUAGCAUAAAUCACAUAGUUGACAGGGUUAUUUAUAAAAUUGGAUAUGCCUGUCAAUAAGCCUAUCACACUCUUCAGUGAUAGUAAGUCUGCAAUAUAACUAGCAGUCCACCCUAUCUUUCAUGAAAGGACAGAACAUAUUAAGAUUGAUUGACACUUUAUAAGAGAUAAGAUCAAGGAAGGGCUUGUGCAAACUGUAUAUGUUCCCACACUCAUCAAGUUGCAGAUAUUCUUACCAAGAGCAUAACUUAAGACCAACACUCACAUCUUCUAGGCAAGCUUGGUGUGCUUAACAUUUUGCACCCUUCAGCUUGAGGGGGAGUGUUAAAAUAUAUACGAUAGCAUUAGUUUUCUGAUGCAGUAAAUAGUUUUCACUGUUUUUAUUGUUUUACUGAUUUAGUACUGAUUUAGCUACUCUAGGCAAUUAGUUAGUUGAGUAGUUAUACAAGUUGUUAGGAGUAGUUCUUAGAAGGUUCUAGAAUAUCAUGUGUGACUCAUGUGAGUCUAUAAAUACCAAGCAUAGUAAUCACAUUAUGUAACUCUUCUAGCUUAUCAAUGAAGCUAACUUCUUCUCUUUCAAUACGAUAACAAAAACACAGUUUACUUCUUCUUUAGUGUAGUCAGCUUUUGUUCUUUCCAAGUCAGCUCAGAUGUUUUAACAAGGGUUAGCACGUUAAUUUCUCAGUCAGUAUUUCUACCAAAUCCUGAUUUGAGUUUCCAAGAAAAAUUAAAAUAUGAUGACAUAGAUUAGAAUUUACAACUACAACCAACAAAGAAAACGAGAAAUAGGUUGUAUCCUUAUUAUCUAAAAAUAAUAUAAUCACGAAAAUCUUAUAAACACUACACUCAUAUUGCAUCUACAACAUCAAAAGAGGAUUGAGAUACUCAUAAUGUAAGAAAAACAAUAAGAAGUAGAUGGGGAAACAUAAUUGAUUUCUUGGAAUUAAUGAUGAAAAGAAUUAAAGAUUAUUCUUUAGGCUUCACAAAACUGAGUAAAUAGUGAGAGAAAUAAUGUUCUUCAUGUGAAACUAUGAAAUUUCUUUUCAUCCUAUAAAAAUUCCUUCAAAAAGUACUUAUAGUGGCUCAUAAACUCAGAAUCCGAAAAAUAUCAAACUCACCAUCGGCAUAAUCCACGGACUAUUAAACAGGCUUGCGGUUUGUGAAUCCUCUUUUGCUCUAACGUAGAAUCUACUUUAAGGUUACUGAACCUCUAUCGUGAAAUGAUCCAUAAAACACGUGAAAUGAUCUAUGAUUUGUGAUACACUUAUGUACUUGAUCUUCAUAGUGUUUCCUUCCUCAGAUUAGCAAACUGUGAAUGUGAUGUACGAUUUGUACUUUCCACUAUAACUUGGUCAAUCUCAAAAAUCUUGCAUGU